rnacentral:rRNA from 1 species
CCUGGCUCAGGAUGAACGCUAGCUACAGGCUUAACACAUGCAAGUCGAGGGGCAUCAGGAAGAAAGCUUGCUUUCUUUGCUGGCGACCGGCGCACGGGUGAGUAACACGUAUCCAACCUGCCCUUUACUCGGGGAUAGCCUUUCGAAAGAAAGAUUAAUACCCGAUAGUAUAAUGAUUCCGCAUGGUUUCAUUAUUAAAGGAUUCCGGUAAAGGAUGGGGAUGCGUUCCAUUAGGUUGUUGGUGAGGUAACGGCUCACCAAGCCUUCGAUGGAUAGGGGUUCUGAGAGGAAGGUCCCCCACAUUGGAACUGAGACACGGUCCAAACUCCUACGGGAGGCAGCAGUGAGGAAUAUUGGUCAAUGGGCGCGAGCCUGAACCAGCCAAGUAGCGUGAAGGAUGACUGCCCUAUGGGUUGUAAACUUCUUUUAUAUUAGAAUAAAGUGCAGUAUGUAUACUGUUUUGUAUGUAUAAUAUGAAUAAGGAUCGGCUAACUCCGUGCCAGCAGCCGCGGUAAUACGGAGGAUCCGAGCGUUAUCCGGAUUUAUUGGUUUUAAAGGGAGCGUAGGUGGACUGGUAAGUCAGUUGUGAAAGUUUGCGGCUCAACCGUAAAAUUGCAGUUGAUACUGUCAGUCUUGAGUACAGUAGAGGUGGGCGGAAUUCGUGGUGUAGCGGUGAAAUGCUUAGAUAUCACGAAGAACUCCGAUUGCGAAGGCAGCUCACUGGACUGCAACUGACACUGAUGCUCGAAAGUGUGGGUAUCAAACAGGAUUAGAUACCCUGGUAGUCCACACAGUAAACGAUGAAUACUCGCUGUUUGCGAUAUACAGUAAGCGGCCAAGCGAAAGCAUUAAGUAUUCCACCUGGGGAGUACGCCGGCAACGGUGAAACUCAAAGGAAUUGACGGGGGCCCGCACAAGCGGAGGAACAUGUGGUUUAAUUCGAUGAUACGCGAGGAACCUUACCCGGGCUUAAAUUGCAGUGGAAUGAUGUGGAAACAUGUCAGUGAGCAAUCACCGCUGUGAAGGUGCUGCAUGGUUGUCGUCAGCUCGUGCCGUGAGGUGUCGGCUUAAGUGCCAUAACGAGCGCAACCCUUAUCUUUAGUUACUAACAGGUCAUGCUGAGGACUCUAGAGAGACUGCCGUCGUAAGAUGUGAGGAAGGUGGGGAUGACGUCAAAUCAGCACGGCCCUUACGUCCGGGGCUACACACGUGUUACAAUGGGGGGUACAGAAGGCAGCUACCUGGUGACAGGAUGCUAAUCCCAAAAGCCUCUCUCAGUUCGGAUCGAAGUCUGCAACCCGACUUCGUGAAGCUGGAUUCGAAGGUAAUCGCGCAUCAGCCACGGCGCGGUG